CUUUUCUGGACUCUUUACUAACUUUUCUUCUUUUGCUUUUUGGUCCUUGGAUGAUCCAACUGCCUUUUCACCAUCUUCCACAUUAUCACUGCUUUCAGGAUCAAUUUUAUCUUUCUUGCCUUCUAAUUCCGGUUCUCUCUCUUCUGUGUGUUUCUCAACAUCACGCUUUGUUGCCUCCAUGCUUUUCAGCUUGCGAAAGACUUCUUCUACUGCCUCUGUCAUCUAAUGCAGGAUGUCAGUAGCUUGGUUACGGGGUCCCUUGUCCCCACUCUCCCUGCAGGGCGCAAUCUGCAAAACCUCAGUAAGUGCAGCUCUGUGCUCCUGCUGAGCAUCCCUCAGGUUCUUAAUCUGUGCAGCCAGGAAAUGGUUGGUGUUUUGUUGUAUAGCAGCUGCCUCUUGUUGUACAGUGGUUGCCUGUACCAGAGCCUUCAGCAGGUCCUCCAUUAUAGCACCAAGCAGGUAACAGUCUUAAAGGU